rnacentral:misc_RNA from 1 species
GCAUUGCGUGAACUGAUUGCAGAACACCGUGCUGUAAUCUUGGCUAGACAGGAACGACACCUGCAACAUAGUAAUGCAAUGGAAAACUUUGGUGAUCAUUCCCACCCUAGCUCCAACAAUUCCUUCUUCCCUUAUGAUCACCAGCUUCAAGUUUCAUAUGAGCCACACAAUUGGGACCGCUUCAAUGACACUACAGGCACACGACUCACUCUGGACCUCAUGCAGGCUCCGAGUUCAGCUUUCUGUUUAUUGUCUACCAGAGGGAAAAAUAACAAAGAAGAGGUAGAAGAAUGUUCCGUGUUAUGGAACACCUGGGGAGGAGCCCAUGUAGUUUAAAGGUUGUACUUUUUAACAUGCAAUUUCUUUUAUAGACAUUAGACCGUCUUGUAGUGAGUUAUUUAUAAGUUUAUUUGAACUCCCAAGUCUCCCGCUUGAUA